GCCGGGCGUGGUGACGCGUGCCUGUAAUCCCAGCUACUCAGGAGGCUGAGGCAGGAGAAUCGCUUGAAUCCAGGAGGCGGAGGUUGCAGUGAGCCAAGAUCGCAGCACUGCACUCCAGCCUGGGUGACACAGCGAGACUCCACCUCAA
rnacentral:SRP_RNA from 1 species